GACCAGACUCCUACGGGAGGCAGCAGUGAGGAAUAUUGGUCAAUGGGCGCGAGCCUGAACCAGCCAAGUCGCGUGAGGGAAGACGGUCCUAUGGAUUGUAAACCUCUUUUGUCGGGGAGCAAAAGACGCCACGCGUGGCGUUCCGAGAGUACCCGAAGAAAAAGCAUCGGCUAACUCUGUGCCAGCAGCCGCGGUAAUACGGAGGAUGCGAGCGUUAUCCGGAUUUAUUGGGUUUAAAGGGUGCGCAGGCGGAGGUGCAAGUCAGUGGUCAAAUUGCGGGGCUCAACCCCGUACUGCCGUUGAAACUGGCAGACUUGAGUUGGCGAGAAGUACGCGGAAUGCGCGGUGUAGCGGUGAAAUGCAUAGAUAUCGCGCAGAACUCCGAUUGCGAAGGCAGCAUACCGGCGCUCAACUGACGCUGAAGCACGAAGGCGUGGGUAUCGAACAGGAUUAGAUACCCGUGUAU
rnacentral:rRNA from 1 species